rnacentral:rRNA from 1 species
CCUACGGGAGGCAGCAGUGGGGGAUAUUGCACAAUGGGGGGAACCCUGAUGCAGCGACGCCGCGUGGGUGAAGAAGCGCCUCGGCGCGUAAAGCCCUGUCAGCAGGGAAGAAAAUGACGGUACCUGAAGAAGAAGCCCCGGCUAACUACGUACCAGCAGCCGCGGUAAUACGUAGGGGGCAAGCGUUAUCCGGAUUUACUGGGUGGAAAGGGGGCGCAGACGGCGAUGCAAGCCAGGAGUGAAAGCCCGGGGCCCAACCCCGGGACGGCUCUUGGAACUGCGUGGCUGGAGUGCAGGAGGGGCAGGCGGAAUUCCUGGUGUAGCGGUGAAAUGCGUAGAUAUCAGGAGGAACACCGGUGGCGAAGGCGGCCUGCUGGACUGCAACUGACGUUGAGGCCCGAAAGCGUGGGGAGCAAACAGGAUUAGAUACCCUAGUAGUC